UACAGAGGUCUCAACCGUUGUUCGGAUUCAUUGGGCGUAAAGGGUGCGUAGGCGGUCGCGCAAGUCGGAUGUGAAAUCUUAGGGUUCAACCCUGAAACUGCAUUCGAUACUGCGUGGCUCGAGUACUGGAGAGGAGACUGGAAUUUACGGUGUAGCAGUGAAAUGCGUAGAUAUCGUAAGGAAGACCAGUGGCGAAGGCGAGUCUCUGGACAGUUACUGACGCUGAGGCACGAAGGCCAGGGGAGCAAACGGG
rnacentral:rRNA from 1 species